CCACCUUACAAAACUGACCAAAAAGGAUA
rnacentral:sRNA from 1 species